rnacentral:tRNA from 1 species
GAGGGUAUAGCUCAGAGGUAGAGCUCAUGCUUAGUGUGUGCAAGGUGCUGGGUUCAACCCCUAGUACCUCCA